rnacentral:rRNA from 1 species
UACGGGGGGGGCAAGCGUUGUUCGGAAUUACUGGGCGUAAAGGGUUCGUAGGUGGCCAACUAAGUCAGACGUGAAAUCCCCAGGCUCAACUUGGGAACUGCGUCUGAUACUGGAUGGCUUGAAUUCGGGAGAGGGAUGCAGAAUUCCAGGUGUAGCGGUGAAAUGCGUAGAUAUCUGGAGGAAUACCGGUGGCGAAGGCGGCAUCCUGGACCGAGAUUGACACUGAUGAGCGAAAGCCAGGGGAGCAAACGGG